CGAGCGUCAUUAUACCCCUCAAGCGUAGCUGGUAUUGGGCCUCGCCCCCGUGGCGUGCCCGAAAAGCAGUGGCGGUCCGGGGUGACUUUAAGCGUAGUAAAAUUAUCCCGCUUUGAAAGUUCGCCUCGUGGCCUGCCAGACAGCCCCGUACAUUUCAAAUCAUUGACCUCGGAUCAGGUAGGGAUACCCGCUGAACUUAA
rnacentral:misc_RNA from 1 species